AUCAAUCAACCGAUCAAUCAAUCAAAAGAGACAAAAGAGGAAACCAAAGACCAUCCUGGGAACUUGUCCACUGUUGGAACUUACCCAAUGCUGAUGAGGAAACCAGCCAAGAGCCAGCAUUACUGGCCAAGAUUGCACAGCUGCUCGGGGGUUUAGAUAAAUAAAAGACAAACUUGAAGAUCUCUUCAGAGCACAGAAAAUGGUAAAUGAGACGCUGUUAUAGGGCAAAUAUGCAGCUGUCUAUCCACCGUUCUCCCCUCCCAUUCCACCCUCAACCGUCAUCUCCCAAAGAAGGAAGAAAUUCUGGGCAGCAGAAUUCAAUAUGGAAAUCUCACUCAGCUUGGU